rnacentral:rRNA from 1 species
UAGGGAAUCUUCCACAAUGGACGCAAGUCUGAUGGAGCAACGCCGCGUGAGUGAAGAAGGGUUUCGGCUCGUAAAGCUCUGUUAUUAAAGAAGAACGUGGGUAAGAGUAACUGUUUACCCAGUGACGGUAUUUAACCAGAAAGCCACGGCUAACUACGUGCCAG